rnacentral:rRNA from 1 species
AUGAGUCUUCCCUGAUACUUUAAGUAUCCUUAAGGGUUGUUCGAGACUAGAACGUUGAUAGGCAGGGUGUGUAAGCGUUGUGAGGCGUUGAGCUAACCUGUACUAAUUGCCCGUGAGGCUUAACCA